GACGAACGCUGGCGGCGUGCCUAACACAUGCAAGUCGAGCGAUACAGAUUGGUGUUUGCACCCAUUUGAAGGGCAGCGAACGGGUGAGUCCCGCGUGUGGAGUCUGACUUUGAGCGGGGGACACCAUUUGGAAACGAAUGCUAAUACCGCAUAAUAACUUUACACUUAAGUUUCCCGUUUGAAAGAUGCAAUUGCAUCACUCAAAGGUCAUCCCGCGUUGUAUUAGCUAGUUGGUGAGGUAAAGGCUCAACCAGGCCAUGAUACAUAGCCGCCCAGAAAGGGGGAGCGGCAAAAUUGGGAUGGGAGCACGGCCCAAACUCCUACGGGAGGCAGCAGGAGGGGAUUCUCGGCAAUGGACGAAAGGCGGACCGAGCAACGCCGCGUGAGUGAAGAAGGUUUUCAGGUCGGGAAACUCUGGUAGGAGAGAAGAACGUUGAGGAGAUUGGAAAGCGCAGCAAGUGACGGUAACGACCCAAAAAGCGACGGCUAACUACGUG
rnacentral:rRNA from 1 species